GUGGAAAUGCUCAGAUAUCACUGUUCUCUUACUGAAUGAUUCACACAGAACAAACUGAGAAAUGCAAGUCUUGUUGACCUCAUAAACAGAAUUCUCAAAAGCCACGGCGACAGGAAAAGACAAACAUUUUAAGCGAAGAAACGUGGUUCAGCAUCACAUCGGUGACCUCAGUGCUCUGUUUAGAGAAAAUGUAAAGCAUUGCAACAAGAGAGAUUGACAAGGUUGGUGCUAAAUGUGUGAGAGGAGAGAGCUCAAGCAGGGAAGACAACAGACGAUCAGGGGAUGGUGACAACGGAACCGAGCAGCUGUCUACAGGAGCAACUAUCGACUCACAACUCCAAAUGCAUCUUUUGGUAGCCUCGGGAGAGAAGCACAUCAGGAGCAAACCAAGACGAGUAACAUUUAAUAACAAAUAAAAACAUUAUAUGCAUUACCAUAGCGUUAGGUAAAUUCCCAAUACAAUCCAAUGUAAGAUCUGUAUCAAAUUUGAGCGUUACAUACCGUAGAUUGUUUCCAACUGUUGGUUGAGCCAAGAAAAAUUACAUUUAUAUUUGAAAAAUGUCACUAACUUUCAUAUCAAUUUGCUCACAAAACAGCUGACAAUGUGAAAUGGAGUCCUGUUUAGUUGAAUGCAAAGGAUUAUUCCAUUGUAUGAAUGACAAGAAGUGGACAGUUAUUGUACCUUCUGCUGUUUAAUGAAAGAGCAUUCCAUUUGAUUUUCUCUGUCAAUAUAUGUCCGUGGAAUUCAUAUAUGAAAGAUACAUUAUUUGUUGUAACUAAUCAAUUUUGGGCUAUCCGGAAUAAUUUCUCACGCCACACCAGAUGAUGCGUCAUGGCACGCUAAUGUGCCACAAAAUAGUGGUUGGGAAUCAUUGACAUAAAGGGUGAUUCAUUCUCACCAUUGACUGACACUGUUACUCUCAAUGUGACACACCGCAAAAAAAAAAAAAAAAAAAAGAUGUUGGUGACGUCUUGUUAAUGACGUUGCCAAAUAUGAGUCUGGAAAAAAAAAAUACCAAACCUAAAUACCUCUUCAUCUUGUCAAUUUUUAAUGCCUUCCGACCCCUACAUUUUUGAAACAUGAAAAUAUAUCCACUUUUAACCUUUAGUGACUGGAACAUAACUGGGCUUGACACGCUGCGACAAGAGGUGCUACCCAUCAGGUAGCGUGCAAGCAACAGGACUCCAAAACUCCUCUUUGUGACAGGCUGCUCCCCAGUCACCUCCUGGUUGGCAAUUUAAAUUACAUCACUGAGCUCUUCUGUAAAUUGUGGCAUCAAGGAAGAUUCUUUUUCCAGGUGUAGGGAUAGUAGCUGGCUAACUGUAUGCUACAGUGGCAGAAACGGGCCAAGGGAUGAGAACUAAGGAAAUCACAACUGCGUUAUAUUACUACUGAUGUGAACAAAGGCGGUUAGGUUCUAAUGUAGUGGGAGAUUGGCAACACAUGCCAGAUGCCCAAGAGUGUCACUGGUUGCUAUUUUAGCCACACAUCCCAAAAAUGAGUAAAACUGAAAUGGUGGAAACCUGUGAAACGUAAAAUCCC